rnacentral:lncRNA from 1 species
GCCCCAUGUUUGGCCCCAGUUUGUUGAGUAACAUGAGUGGUAUCGGCUCGGCUCCAUCUCAUGUUUGAUCAGCAGGUCACUGGUUGCUGUUUUCUGAUGAUGCAGCCCUUUGAAAAAGAGCCUGAAACGUCCAGUACAUUCCUAAGAGGAUGCAGGAGGGAAUGCAUAAAGUUGAAAGAUGGGGACUCAAAAGGGGUUUUAGGUUGUCAUCUGCAACAACAAAGGUUAUGUUCCUUACAGGAAACAGGAUUGAGAUUGAACACUAUGCAGUGUUGGGAAACAUCCCAUUGGUUUAUGAAAGCAUUGUCACCAACCAGAAACAAAAGAACACUUGCUGUUGGUAUGAAGACAAGAAAGGGAAUUGACGAAGGAUGGACUGAGGAAACUGGGAAUGGUGGGCAGAUUGAGCGACGUCUUUGCCUCAAGUCGCUCUGUCAACUCCAAUCAAGGCUGCCUGCCCUCUCAGAGAUGACAGAUUAUCCAGCUCGCUGACCCCAGGCUGAGAGGCCUCAAAAGAAAGAUCCAGAGGAGAAGCUUGCAGAGAAAUGAAGAUCCCGUUGUUCAAAAACAGAAAAUUCAUAAUUUCACACUGAAGGACUACAGCAUCAUUAAACAUCCCAAGUUAAUCCGUGGUGUUCUCAGUGCACUCGCAAAGCUAAAAUACAACCAGCAUCAACAACUUUUAUUUUAAUUGCAACCCACAAACAGAAAAACAGAAUUACAUUCAAAAGUGACGGUAGUUCCCCUCGUCUGUAUGAUGUUCAGACGUCUGCUCACUCAACCGACAGGAAAUCCAAACAGCACAGACAGUUUAUGGCACCAUCACAUUUCUCACCUUUUUUUAAGGCUCAGUGUAAAGAAAUCAUACUUGGUAUCGUACUUGGUGGCGUUUACAUUCAUACUCAAUUGUUCAAAUUUAGAGUUUUCCGUAGAUGAAUAUAAGAUUGUGCUUGUUCUAGUCAACUAUGCAGUGCUAAAGAAACAAAAUUGAUGCGGAAAAAGACUUCACUGCAUCCAAAUUCACAACCCAAUUCAAAUUUAGAGAAGAAAAGCAGGCAGACUGCCUCAUAAAUGUUAGAUUAAAAAUAGUGUUUUAUGUGUUGGGAAGAUUAACAGUGUGAACAUUCAGUGAAAAUCUUUGUUCUGUCUGCCUCAAUCAUGUAAAAAUCUCUUCCUCGAUCUCCUGGGCAGUGCCUCCUUUCAGACUUGGGUCCUCUGCAGUGUGUGUGUGUGUGUGUGUAUAUAUAUAUAUAUAUAUAUAUAUCUCCCUAACCCUACACACACACAACCAAGCAAAUGUUAUGACCUCAAUAAAAAUACUGAACAUUUUAUUUACUGACAUUAGAAAGGCCAAAACACAUGAAUUCACUCACUCAGUUCACAAAGAAAACAUUCCCAAUAAUGAUACUUUUUUGUUCCAUUUCAUCUUUGCGUGCACUCAACUUCUUCCUUUUGCUUCAAGCUCACCGUCACCUCAGCCAGUGCUCAGAAAGAGUCGAAUCUGUGGCUGCCAGGGGAGACCAGACAAACUAAAUGGAAAAUUCUGAAACAAAUAGAUCUGAAAUUUGGCAUUUUGUUCCAUGCAUGCAUCAAGUCAAAACAGAGAAAAGGUUCAGAGCAGAGAAAAAAAUAAAAUUUUGGGCUCUAGGUUCAAACUAACCUGUUUAACCUGCAGCCCAGGAUGUUAUGGCUCAUGUCCUCAGGUGGAGCAGCUCACUGUUCAUCAUCAUGACUUGAUCGACAUCUAUUUGAAACAUUCCCAUUAAAAUGAGGUCUUCUAGAGGUCAGUGGUACUUUUUGGAGUUCCUCAAAUAGUUGGGUUAAUUGCAAAAUGCCGCUCGGUACAAGUGAGUGAGUGUUGCAUCACGUGGUGCUGGGUGUAUUCUGCCUGUUGCCAUGUGACUACUAGGACAGAACGCAGCACCCAUCCACAACUCAUGAAGGAAUAGAUGGAUCUCCCAGCAUUCCUUCAGCACCACAAUGAUGAUUCGGGGAUAAUUGGACAAAAUCCCAGUUUCCCUCAGACUUCCAGAGGAGGUAUUUCUUGAUGGGAUUCACUUUCGGGAAUGAGCUCAGCCGCAGGCUUGUCUACAUUGACUGCUCAUAAAAAGGUCCUCAGAGGACAAUCAACAUCACAUCUGGAAAGCCUGGGCACCAGAUCAUCCCAAUAGAAUGCUUCCCUCUCAGAGCGGCUGGCCUUUGCUCUCAAGCCCCAUGCAGUGGAAGCAGCUCCCAGCAAGAUGAGGCGGCUUUAAAAUAAUGAAAAUCUUCCUAGAAAAGCACAUUUUUAUUCUUUCAACUUAUCUUCUUAUUCUCCAUAUGACCCGGGUCCUUCUCAAGGUUUCUUCUUAUUCUGGAAUGUGUCCUGACACCUUUGUUCGCUUUGCCCGUAGAACCAAUUUUUAAUGUAACAUGAAAAGAAACUGUUCUAAUCAGGAUAUUAUUAAGUCAAAGUAGAAGAGGCUUCAAGUAGGAUUAAAAUAGUUUAAUUGUGUCCCUGAAAGACAAAAAAAAAUUAAAGGGGGUCCUUGAGUAGUCCAUUAAGGUGACAAGAGGAACCAGACCCAGUUCGUUUGCCUUUGACCUGAACACAUGGACCACGCAGACCUGGAUACACAGCAAGAACACAUACAGCAAAGCCAAAGGCUGCAAUUUAAAAGACUG